AGAUAGCCCCCACAUUAAGCUCCUACAGUGAUGGAAUCAAAACCUAUUUUGUAUCUCCUGUCACAGGGUAGGCCCAAAACAAUAUCCAAGUCUAUAUAACAACAAAAGAAAUAUAAUAGAGAGAUCAAAUGCAACCAAUUAUGAACCCAGAACUGCCUUCCAGUUAAGCUUGAUUAAGAACCACACAACGAUCAGGCAUCUGGAAAUUGAAGAGAAUAACAAUAAGCACGGGAAAGUCAAGAUGGAAGAUAAAUUGUAGCAGAAUUAAUACAAUACUAUACUCCCUCUGACACCCUCGAUAAACAUUAUAUCAGUGACAGCAUCAAAAGUUGAUAUGUCUCCAAUAACUAGACCAAGAUUAGCCCCACCAUAAGCUGCUUCUUUCACAACUUAAUUUUUAACCCCUGUCACAAGGUGAGGCAGAAAACAAUAUCCACGUCUACGUAACAAAUAAAAGAUUGUUGAAACUGACAAAAGAUAACCAAGCAUACCAGAAGUGCCUUCCAGUUAAGAACCACACAACAAUCAGACAUCUGGAAAUUGAAGAGUAUAACUAUUAGCACGGGAAACUCUAGGUAGAAGAGAAAAUGUA
rnacentral:lncRNA from 1 species